rnacentral:lncRNA from 1 species
UGCAUGAAUGCCAGCUUCCAUGAGUGAAUGGAAUCUGGAAAAUGAGAAUAAGAAAGUUAGAAGAAGAAUAAAACUAGAAGAAGAAGAAAAAUAAAACUAGAAGAAGAAGAAGAAGAAGAAGGAGAAAAAGAAGAAGGAGGAGGAGAAGAAGGAGAAGGAGAAGAAGGAGAAGGAGAAGAAGAAGAAGAAAAAGGAGAAGGAGGAGGUGAAGAAGAAGAAGAAGGAGGAGGAGAAGAAGGAGAAGAAGAGGAAGAGGAUGAUUACAAGACUUAUCUUAUUUUGAGCUUAUUAUGUCAUGUAGGAGGAAUAUACGCUAAGUUAUGAGCUAACCAUGGUUCUUGUGCUGUUUUUGACCUAACUAAGCUAACUAUGUCAAAAAAUGAACUAAAUAAGCUAAUUAUGUCAUUUUGAAGGAUAAUUAGUUAAGUAUGUCUUUCUCGGGGAAAAUAAGCUAAGGAGAAGAAGAUAGAGGAGAAUAAAGAGGUGAAGAAGAAGGAGAAUGGGAAGAAGAAGAAGAAGAAGAAAGAGAAGAAGAAGAAGGAGAAGAAGGAGAAGUAGAAGGAGAAGAA